UUCCAAGAUUUUCUCACUUGAUUUCUACUUUCUUGGUGCAAAAUAACCUCCCUUCCCAUGGUUAUUUAUAAGCCAAAAAUUUUACUAUUUAUUAAUUUUUUAUAGUAUUUAUUAUUUGAUAAUAUUUUAAAAUUAUUUUAAUAUAUUAAUAUUUUAAUCACCAUUUACUCGUAUCUGACUCUUUAAUCAUUCAUUCCAAC
rnacentral:lncRNA from 1 species